UAUAGUACCGAAGUUCCUGAUUCCACACUGCCAAGAAAAGCCUCUAGCGAGGCGGGAGGUGCCCGUACCGCAAACCGACACAGGUAGGCGAGGAGAGAAUCCUAAGGUGAUCGAGAGAACUCUCGUUAAGGAACUCGGCAAAAUGACCCCGUAACUUCGGGAGAAGGGGUGCUCUGGUAGGGUGUAUAGCCCGAGAGAGCCGCAGUGAAUAGGCCCAGGCGACUGUUUAGCAAAAACACAGGUCUCUGCGAAGCCGCAAGGCGAAGUAUAGGGGCUGACGCCUGCCCGGUGCUGGAAGGUUAAGAGGAGGGGUUAUCCUUUGGGAGAAGCUCUGAAUCGAAGCCCCAGUAAACGGCGGCCGUAACUAUAACGGUCCUAAGGUAGCGAAAUUCCUUGUCGGGUAAGUUCCGACCCGCACGAAAGGCGUAACGAUCUGGGCACUGUCUCAACGAGAGACUCGGUGAAAUUAUAGUACCUGUGAAGAUGCAGGUUACCCGCGACAGGACGGAAAGACCCCGUGGAGCUUUACUGUAGCCUGAUAUUGAAUUUUGGUACAGCUUGUACAGGAUAGGUAGGAGCCUGAGAAGCCGGAGCGCUAGCUUCGGUGGAGGCGUCGGUGGGAUACUACCCUGGCUGUAUUGAAAUUCUAACCCGCGGCCCUGAUCGGGCCGGGAGACAGUGUCAGGUGGGCAGUUUGACUGGGGCGGUCGCCUCCUAAAAUGUAACGGAGGCGCCCAAAGG
rnacentral:rRNA from 2 species